ensembl:Y_RNA Y_RNA Y RNA
GGCUAAUCUAAAGGCAGUGGGUUAUCUCAAUUGAUUGUUCAAUUACAUAUUGAACUCCUUGUUGUACUCUUUCUCCCUCUUGUCACUGCUGCACUUGACUACACUUAA